UUGGUCUUAACGGAGCCACAUCUCCUUAAUAAUAUCGAAUAAAAAUUUUCAGUUUUUGUGCAGUAAAAAUGUUUAGACAAUUUUACACUAGUUAGGGCUACUUCUUAUAAGGGGGUUUACACGUUUCAUACAAAACACAUUGCAAAACCGGUGAGUGGGCGAUGACCAGCUGCCAUCUUUUUUAUUGCUUCAUGGAUUCAAAAAGGCAAAAAGGGCUUAUUUCGACAAACUUACAAUCACACACCUGCCAAUCUUAUUCUUCUGCCGUCUGAUCUAAGCUAAUACAAGUUAUUCUGACACGUUUUAUAGCAUUAUAAAAUCGACGAAUGGAAGUUCGCCAGCGUCGUCGUGAUUUGGGACCAUGACGACUUCAUUACAUGACAAAACGCAAACACACACUCAUUCAAAGCUGCUACAAGGUUGGUAUCUACGAUUAUGGAACCUUUAGGCUUAUUUCGACAAACUUACAAUCACACACCUGCCAAUCUCAUUCUUCUGCAAUCCGAUCUGAGCUAAUACAAGGUAUUCUAACACAUUUCAUAGCAUUACAAAAUCGACGAAUGGAAGUUCGCCAGCUGCCACCCAUUUGAUUGCUUUCAAGGAAUCAAAAGGGCAGAAUGUCGUCGUGAUUUGGGACCAUGACGACUUCGUUACAUGACAAGACGUAAAAACACACACUCAUUCAAAGCUACUACAAGCUUACAUGGAGCUGGGCGAUUCCAUUCCGAUUUUGUAAAGCAUCAGCAUAUUGAAUAUAUCGAUUUAUACAAUCGCACCUUUUUCGUACACAUUAAUAAUUGUUAGAAGCUACACUAUCCACUACUAUUAAUGUUAAGUAAAUAAACAAAUUGGGUCGCA